rnacentral:tRNA from 1 species
GUCUACAUAGUAUAGCGGUUAGUAUAUCACGUUGUGGCGCUAUAAAUUGCUUAGCUCUGUGAAGAUCCAUGUUCGAUUCAUGGUGUAGACA